rnacentral:sRNA from 1 species
AUGGCUGUCGUCAGCUCGUGUCGUGAGAUGUUGGGUUAAGUCCCGCAACGAGCGCAACCCUCAUCUUUAGUUGCCAUCAGGUUAAGCUGGGCACUCUAGAGAAACUGCCUGCGAUGAGCAGGAGGAAGGCGGGGAUGACGUCAAGUCCUCAUGGCCCUUAUGGACUGGGCUACACACGUGCUACAAUGGCGGUGACAGUGGGAAGCGAUAGGGCGACCUGGAGCAAAUCCCCAAAAGCCGUCCCAGUUCGGAUUGUACUCUGCAACUCGAGUGCAUGAAGUUGGAAUCGCUAGUAAUCGUGGAUCAGCAUGCCACGGUGAAUACGUUCCCGGGCCUUGUACACACCGCCCGUCACACCAUGGGAAUUGGUUCUACCCGAAUGCGGUGAGCUAACCUGCUUGCAGGAGGCAGCCGACCACGGUAGGGUCAGUGACUGGGGUGAAGUCGUAACAAGGUAGCCGUAGGGGAACCUGCGGCUGGAUCACCUCCUUUCUAAGGAAUAUGGCGUUAGGAUACAUCUCGUAUCCCAAUUCCUGUUCACUUAACACAGAUGCCGGCACGUCGCCGUCGGCGUAUCUCUUCCAUCACGAAUGCCGAAUGCGGAGACGGUGUACGCUCUCUCCACCAGUUGGUUGCUACCAAAACGGGCCUGUAGCUCAGCUUGGUUAGAGCGCACGCCUGAUAAGCGUGAGGUCGGUAGUUCAAGUCUACCCAGGCCCACCAUUUCGCGACCGAUGUCAGCUAACGAUUUUACAUCGAGCGCAUUGGAAACGGGGGUGUAGCUCAGUUGGGAGAGCGCCUGCUUUGCAAGCAGGAGGUCAUCGGUUCGAUUCCGUUCACCUCCACCAAUUCCCCAGAACUUAAAGAAGUUUCACGGAGAAUUUAGUGGUAGGCCGCAUAAAAUAAGGCAUUCGUUAGAGAAAUACAGGUUUGCAGGUUCAUAAGAACCGGCAAGGCCUCGGAAAUUUCCGGGGUAGGCUGUUUGUCAUUGUGAAGAAGAUUGUUCCUGGAUACGAAUUGUUAGAGUGUCUGCCUCGUGUUUACGAAGUAAGGCCUCGAGUGGUUCGUAUGCAAUUAUAAUUAAAAGUUCAAUAGUGUCGUAGGUUGGCCCCUACGCACGAAUUUUGUAAUCAAGCGCUGAAGGGCAUUUGGUGGAUGCCUUGGCAUCAAGAGGCGAUGAAGGACGUAGCACGUUGCGAUAAGCCGCGGGGAGUUGCGAGCAAACUUUGAUCCGCGGAUUUCCGAAUGGGGAAACCCGG